rnacentral:rRNA from 1 species
AGUGACGAUAGCCUAGGAGAUACACCUGUACCCAUGCCGAACACAGAAGUUAAGCCCUAGAACGCCGGAAGUAGUUGGGGGUGGCCCCCUGUGAGAUAGGGAAGUCGCUUAGCU